GACGAACCGUGCGACCGUUAUUCGGAAUCACUGGGCUUAAAGCGCGUGUAGGCGGGAGGGCACGUCCGUCGCUGAAAUCCCCCGGCUCAACCGGGGAACGGGCGCGGAUACGACCUUCCUGGAGGGGCGUAGGGGGACCUGGAACUUCCGGUGGAGCGGUGAAAUGCGUUGAGAUCGGAAGGAACGCCCGUGGCGAAAGCGAGGGCCUGGACGCCUACUGACGCUGAGACGCGAAAGCCAGGGGAGCGAACGGG
rnacentral:rRNA from 1 species